GUCAUUGUAAUCUUUCCUAUCUUCCUAUUAAAGUCUAUGUCUAACUAUUUGCUGUGUGACCUUGUUCUCUUCUCUCUCUGGAGAUAUAUGAGUGAUUUGACAGUGAACUUCAAGCAAGACUAGCCAGUGACUAAAAGGAGCUUGGAACCUGGAGACAUCCAAGGUUUGGUGACAAGACUGCUGCAAUCCAGACAUGAGGAUUAAUCAUUUUUGCUGGGUUUUUUUCUUACCAAGAAAGAAUGGGAGAUGGAGAACAGAAAGACAAUGCUUGCGCCUGAAGUCUAAAUGCAGAGCACCAGGAAGAAUGCAUCUAGGAUUUGCUGGAAAAUACUUGAAUCUGGAGAAACUAUCACUGCUUCUGGCAGAUGCUUGUGAAUCUCAACAGUGACAUUUCUCUGUUGCUCUCCUGUAUGCUGAAGAAAUGGCUGAACUCCGAAGAGUACCCACAACAAGCUUUGGUUCUUUGCUUGUUUAUUCUUGUAAAUGAAAUGUGUGUGAGGCCACAUUUCUCUCUGUGAUACCAUCUGGCAUGGAAUGAUCAAUUUCUAUGUGAAUAAAUUAUCUUGGACUCCAAAUGGGGGCA
rnacentral:lncRNA from 1 species